GUACUCAUUUUUGCAGCACAUAUACUAAAAUUAGAAUUAUAUAGUGAAUACGAAUGGUCCAUGUACAAGGAUGACAUGAAAAUUAAUAAAGCAUUCCAUAUUUU
rnacentral:snRNA from 1 species